UAUUUUGCUCUGGCUGCCUUUGGUUUAUUUACAGUAUGAGCAUUGCUAGAUGUAAGGCAUGCCUUCCCCUUUGCUAUCAGCCCUCUCCCUUCCUUCUUGGAUUGCCUCCUUCAAGAGGAGGUUCUUGAUUGAGUGCAGUUUGUUGACUCCAUCUCCCAUCUCCAUUCGGUCCCCUGGAGAUUCAAUGGAACAUGUGACGCCAAUUCUCAAUACUGAGACCAUGUACUCCUCCAUUUUGCGGUCUCUUUUUCAUCUCCUAAAACCAAAUGCGGAUCCAUGACUUCCCUUACUCGCUCAGGUAAAGAUGACUUCACAAAAUCAUGAAGAGUAAGGCCAUCUUAGAAGAUGUCAUCCGUUGGCCUUCUUCCUGUAAACAUCUCCAGCAAUAGAAUUCCAUAACUGUACACAUCUCCCUCUGCAGAAACAUUACCAGUAACACCAUAUUCUGCAAAAUAGUUAGAGCAAGAUUUAAUAAUUCUUCUUUGCAGGUUGUUUUUUUAAAGUUAAAAAGGUUCAAUGAAACUUUUUGUUUCAGUGAAUACUGGUGAUUCAGGAAGGCAACAUGAGAGGAUUUGGAGGUUUGAACUAUUAAUGAAUCUAUAGGCAGUUAAGGCAUUGUUGAAUGGGUUCCUUGCUCCUUCAACACCAUGAGAAGAUUUGGAGGUUUGAACUACUCUAAUUUAAAAUAGUUUUUGCUUUCAUAUGUAUUCUGACUAAAAAUUUCCAACAGCUCUUUUAGCAUUGAUUUCUAAGCAAUUUUCUACAAGUAUUUAAAUAGUGGGACUAGUUCAUCAAAAGACCUAAAUACUUUUGAAAUUGGAAAAAUGACCUCUCUUAAUCAUUCUUUAAAAAAAUGUUCUUUGUUUUGUCAAAAAUGUCAUUUCCCUCCCAUUUUUUACCUAACUCUCUCUAUAAGAUUAUGCUCUCUCAAAGGAUAAAGAUCAGUUUUGUUUUUUUUUGUAAUUUCAUUUAAACUUCUAUUCUACUUGACUUCUGGGUGUGUAAUUGGGUUUGCUCUUGGACAAUGGUAUACACUAGAUAUAAUUCAACCAAGGGAACAAUGUGCAAGACCCGCUUAUGUCUAUGGCAUUAAUUUUCUAAGAAAUUUGCUACAAUUAUUUAGAUAAAGAGACUUGUUCAUCAAUUAUGUUUCAUCUAGAAUAUGUUUGAAAUAUUAUGAUAAAGAAUGAGA
rnacentral:lncRNA from 1 species